UGUGUGGUGUGUAGCUGUGUACAUGCCAUGAUACCCACGAGGAGGCCAGAGGGCCACUUUGUACAGUCACUUCUCUCUCUUCACCUUUUCAUGGUCCUGAGAUCAAGCCCAUGUUGUCCGGCUUCUGUGGCUUUAUUUCACCUGCUCCUUAGAAGCGUAGUUUUCGCUUCCUGCAUAGUGUGUGAAGAUUUCAGCUUUCCCUUAGUAUCUGUAAUAGCUGAAUUCCCGAGUGUGGUUGGUUUGUCUUGGUCCUGGUGUAUGCCAUACUGAAUUUUGAUCUGACACCCAGUGGUCAGUUACCAUGCUUUGCUGUUUCCUUGAGAAGGUAAGAGCAGUGUGAAGUGGAGCUGACUGCACAGAGAUGCCAGCCCAGCUACCUCACAUCAACUUUCUGAUGCUCUCUCAUCUCCUUAGGAUUUUCCAUGAGCAGAAAAUAUUACAGAAGGUCUUCGGAGAAUGGAGGGAAGAAUGGUGGGUCUCUCAGAGGGAGUAGAAGCUCUGUGUCCGAGCUGACUGUCACUACAGAUACUACUUGUACAACCUGAUUUUCCAGAACUGGAAGACCUUUGUGCACCAGCAACGGGAGAUGAGGAAGAGGUUCCGAAUAGCUGAGCAUCAUGAUACGAAGCAGAAGAUGUGCCAAGCCUGGAAGUCCUGGUUGAUAUACAUGGUUUCUCGUAGGACCAAACUUCACAUGAAGACUACUGCUCUAGAGUUUAGGAGCCAGAGUGUCUUAUGUUUCUGGUGGAGCAAGUGGAGGUGGCGACUAGGACAAGCCCAUGCAGAGCACGCUCUCCAUGCAGUGGCUGUGAAGCACAGGGCCCUGAGCCUCCAGCUGCAGGGUUGGCUGCGAUGGCAAGAACAGCUUCUAAUUAGCCAGCGAGAUAGGAGGAAGGAGGCUACUGCUGUGCAACACUAUCAGCACUGGCAGAAGCAGAGAUCUCUGAAGGCUUGGCUUAAAUACCUCCAAAUCUGCAGGGUGAAGAGAUGGCAGAAUGAGAUGGCUGUACAAUUCCACCAUGGUACUGUGCUCCAGAUACAUUUCUGUGACUGGCAGUGGGCCUGGGAGUGGAGGCAGAGCUUGUCUGCCCACCAGGCCCUGGUGGUGAAGCUGGCCGGGAGGAUGGUCCUGCGGAGGGCCUUUACACACUGGAAGCACUACAUGUUGCUACAGGCAGAAGAGGCUGCCCAGCAUGAGGCAGCAGCUGAACACCGCCAGCACUACCUGCUGUAUUCUUGCUCUAGAGCCUUCAAAGACAACGUGACCCAGGCCCGACUACAGCAAAUAAGAAAGAAGCUUGCUCAGCAGCUGCGUGACACUACAUUGCUUCACAGGUUCUGGCACCUCUGGCUGUCUCGAAUUGAGCAGAGGGAGGAGAGGGAACAGACCCCCUCAUUGCAUGCAGCCCUGAGCCACCACAGGGUGACAGUCCUACACAAGUGUGUCAAGGUGUGGCUACGGUAUGUGCACAAGAGACGAUGGCAGCAGUUAUUGCGGGCCAGAGCAGAUGGUCAUUUCCAGCAGCGAGCACUGCCUGCUGCCUUCUACACGUGGUACAGAGGCUGGCUAUGGCACCAGCAGAGACGGAUCCUGCACACAAAAGCAGUGCGUUUCCACAGAGGGACAUUAGAGAAGCAAGUAUUUGCUCUCUGGAGGCAGAAGAUGUCUCAGCAUCGAGAAAACUGCUUGGCAGAGAGAAUGGCUAUACUGCAGGCAGAGCAGCAGCUUUUGCGUAGGUUCUGGUUCGUGUGGCACCAGCAGGCAGCAGUGUGUCAGCUGGAGCGACAGCAGCAAGCCAUGGCCAUUGCCCACCACCACAGUGGACUGCUCAGGAGGGCUUUCUGCAUCUGGAAGGAAAGUACCCAAGGAUUUAGGAUAGAGAGGAUGGGCAGAGCACAGGCUGCGCACUUCCACUCUGCGCGGCUCUUGAGUUGGGCCUGGAGCAUGUGGAGGGAGUGCCUGGCCCUGAGGCUGGAAGAGCAGCAGAAACUGAAGUGUGUGGCCCUGCACAGCCAGUGCAUCCUGCUUCGCAGGGCUCUGCAGAAGUGGCUGGUUUACCAGAAUAGGGUGAGGAGUGUUCUGCGGGAGGUGGCGGCCAGGGAGAGACAGCACAACAGGCAGCUGCUGUGGUGGGCGUUACAUCUCUGGAGAGAAAACACCAUGGCCCGUUUGGAUGGAGCCAAAAAAACCUCUCAAGCAAGAGUUCACUACAGCAGGACUCUGUGCUCCAAGGUCCUAAUCCAGUGGCGAGAGGUUACUUCAGUGCAGAUAUAUUACCAACAAAAGGAGGCAGCUGCCCUCAGGGAGGCCCGGAAAGCACUGGACAGGGGUCGUCUCCAGAACUGGUUUCAGCACUGGCGAUUCUGCAGCCAGAGGGCAGCCCAGCAGAGAUUCCGGCUGGGACAGGCGGCUCAGCAUCACCGCUGGCAGCUGCUGAUGGAAGCAAUGGCCAGGUGGAAGGCACACCAUCUGGGGUGUAUCAGAAAGAAGUUUCUGCAGAGGCAAGCUGCCCAACUCCUGGCACAGAGACUCGGUCGGGCCUGCUUCUGCCAGUAGAGGAAGCAGCUGGCAGUCCGGAAGCAAGAACAGUGGGGCACGGCCCGGGCCCUGUGGUUCUGGGCCUUCUCACUACAAGCAAAGGUGUGGACUGCAUGGCUGGGCUUCGUACUUGAGAGGAGGAGGAAGAAGGCACGGCUGGAACGGGCUAUGCAAGCCUACCAGCAGCAGCUCCUACAGGAGGGUGCCACACGGCUUCUGCGCUUCACAGCUGGUACGAAGGCCUUCCGGCAGCAGCUCCAGGCCCAGCAGCAGGUCCAGGCAGCCCACAGCCUCCACUGUGCAGUCCGCCACUGUGCUGAGCUCUGGAAAAAGAAGGUGCUUGGUCCAGGCAAGACUUCUCAACCACCAGCACCCACCACAUUCAGCAAGAGAGUGACAUUUAAGGAUUCUUUCCUCUCUGGACAUGCUGCGGAGGCUGGAGAUGCUACCCAGGAGACAAAGAAGCUUCGAGCUCCUCCGUCUCAGGGAGUCCUGGGUAGUUUGGCAGGAGCUGCUGGGGAGCCCUGCCACCUAGACCUCAAUGCAGCCCGCUCAUCACGGAAACAGCCUCGACGUCCAUCCUUCCUGCUUGAGCGUUUGGGGAGCCAGAGGUCCCCAGAGUGGUACAGCCUUGGGGAGCAGCAGUUAGAGAAGCCCCCAGAGGAGGAAAGCAUGGCUCUGCUGGGAGGCUCUUCCCUGACAAGACCCUUCCUACCUGGGGUCCUGCCGAAUGUUCCUGGUCCGAAGCUGCCUCCUACGGCCAGUCCAGGCCUGGAGCUGCUGCCUCCCUCCUCCAUCAUGCCCCGUGUGGCAGGAGGCACUGCUAGGGUAUCAGCGAAGCCCAGCAUCCCUGGGCCUCAGCCUUGGGGAUGCCCGUCCUUACCCAGGGACCUUGAUCCCCAUCUCCUCCCUGGAGAUUCCAUAAGCACCCGGACUGGGCCUGUUUAUGGCUCAGAGGCUACAGGCCACACAGAGCUUGAGGCUGAGUUGGAGGGGAUCCAGCAGCAGUUACAACACUACCAAACCACCAAGCAGAACCUUUGGUCAUGCCAGCGACAAGCCAACAGCCUGCGUAGGUGGCUGGAGCUAAGCCAGGAGGAGCCGAAAUCCGAGGACCUUCAUCUAGAAGAGCAGGUGAAAACAGAACUGGAGGAAGUGGAACUACAGGUCCAGCAGCUGGCUAAGGAGCUUGAGGCCCAGCGUCAGCCUGUUGGUACAUGCAUUGCUCGUGUUCGGGCCCUGAGACGGGCACUGUGCUAGUGGCCCGUCCCUGGGGGAUAGGUGCUAUCCUUCACAAGGCCUUGGACACCCUCAACAACAAAAUUCAAAGCUAUGGUAGUUUUUGUUUUGUUUUGUUUUUUAAUUUCAAAAUGUCUUGCAAUUAAAUGAAUUACUGUUCA